rnacentral:rRNA from 1 species
GUGCCAGCAGCCGCGGUAAUACGAAGGGUGCAAGCGUUACUCGGAAUUACUGGGCGUAAAGCGUGCGUAGGUGGUUUGUUAAGUCUGAUGUGAAAGCCCUGGGCUCAACCUGGGAAUUGCAUUGGAUACUGGCAGGCUAGAGUGCGGUAGAGGAUGGCGGAAUUCCCGGUGUAGCAGUGAAAUGCGUAGAGAUCGGGAGGAACAUCUGUGGCGAAGGCGGCCAUCUGGACCAGCACUGACACUGAGGCACGAAAGCGUGGGGAGCAAACAGGAUUAGAUACCCUGGUAGUCC